AGAGUUUGAUCCUGGCUCAGGACGAACGCUGGCGGCGUGCCUAAUACAUGCAAGUCGAGCGGAGUUUUGAAAAGCUUGCUUUUCAAAACUUAGCGGCGGACGGGUGAGUAACACGUGGGCAACCUGCCCUUGAGACGGGGAUAACUCCGGGAAACCGGAGCUAAUACCGGAUAACACAUAUCUUCGCAUGAAGAUAUGUUAGAAGGUGGCUUUUAGCUACCACUCAAGGAUGGGCCCGCGGCGCAUUAGCUAGUUGGUGAGGUAACGGCUCACCAAGGCGACGAUGCGUAGCCGACCUGAGAGGGUGAUCGGCCACACUGGGACUGAGACACGGCCCAGACUCCUACGGGAGGCAGCAGUAGGGAAUCUUCCGCAAUGGACGAAAGUCUGACGGAGCAACGCCGCGUGAGUGAUGAAGGUUUUCGGAUCGUAAAGCUCUGUUGUUAGGGAAGAACAAGUACCUGUUGAAUAAGCAGGUACCUUGACGGUACCUAACCAGAAAGCCACGGCUAACUACGUGCCAGCAGCCGCGGUAAUACGUAGGUGGCAAGCGUUGUCCGGAAUUAUUGGGCGUAAAGCGCGCGCAGGCGGUUCCUUAAGUCUGAUGUGAAAGCCCACGGCUCAACCGUGGAGGGUCAUUGGAAACUGGGGAACUUGAGUGCAGAAGAGGAGAGCGGAAUUCCACGUGUAGCGGUGAAAUGCGUAGAUAUGUGGAAGAACACCGAUGGCGAAGGCGGCUCUCUGGACUGUGAUUGACGCUGAGGCGCGAAAGCGUGGGGAUCGAACAGGAUUAGAUACCCUGGUAGUCCACGCCCUAAACGAUGAAUACUCGAUGUUGGCGAUAUACGGUCAGCGUCUAAGCGAAAGCGUUAAGUAUUCCACCUGGGGAGUACGCCCGCAAGGGUGAAACUCAAAGGAAUUGACGGGGGCCCGCACAAGCGGAGGAGCAUGUGGUUUAAUUCGAUGAUACGCGAGGAACCUUACCCGGGCUUGAAAGUUAGUGAAUGAUUCAGAGACGAAUCAGUCCUUCGGGACACGAAACUAGGUGCUGCAUGGCUGUCGUCAGCUCGUGCCGUGAGGUGUUGGGUUAAGUCCCGCAACGAGCGCAACCCCUAUGUUUAGUUGCCAGCACAUAAUGGUGGGGACUCUAAACAGACUGCCUACGCAAGUAGAGAGGAAGGAGGGGACGACGUCAAGUCAUCAUGGCCCUUACGUCCGGGGCUACACACGUGCUACAAUGGAUGGUACAGAGGGCUGCUACCUGGCAACAGGAUGCUAAUCUCAAAAAGCCAUUCACAGUUCGGAUUGAGGUCUGCAACUCGACCUUAUGAAGUUGGAUUCGCUAGUAAUCGCGUAUCAGCAAUGACGCGGUGAAUACGUUCCCGGGCCUUGUACACACCGCCCGUCAAGCCAUGGAAGCUGGGGGUACCUAAAGUAUGUAACCGCAAGGAGCGUCCUAGGGUAAAACCGGUAACUGGGGCUAAGUCGUAACAAGGUA
rnacentral:rRNA from 1 species